rnacentral:rRNA from 1 species
UACAGAGGUCUCAAGCGUUGUUCGGAUUCAUUGGGCGUAAAGGGCGCGUAGGCUGCGUGGCAAGUCGGGUGUGAAAUCUCAGAGCUCAACUCUGAAACUGCACUCGAUACUGCUUUGCUUGAGGACUGGAGAGGAGAUUGGAAUUCACGGUGUAGCAGUGAAAUGCGUAGAUAUCGUGAGGAAGACCAGUGGCGAAGGCGGAUCUCUGGACAGUUCCUGACGCUGAGGCGCGAAGGCCAGGGGAGCAAACGGG